GACGAACGCUGGCGGCGUGCUUAACACAUGCAAGUCGAACGCGACCGCUCCUUGCUUGCAGGGGGUUGGUUGAGUGGCGAACGGGUGAGUAACACGUGAGUAACCUGCCCCUGACUGUGGGAUAAGCCUGGGAAACUGGGUCUAAUACCGCAUAUGACGCAUCCUCGCAUGGGGGUGUGUGGAAAGUUUUUUCGGUUGGGGAUGGGCUCGCGGCCUAUCAGCUUGUUGGUGGGGUAAUGGCCUACCAAGGCGACGACGGGUAGCCGGCCUGAGAGGGCGACCGGCCACACUGGGACUGAGACACGGCCCAGACUCCUACGGGAGGCAGCAGUGGGGAAUAUUGCACAAUGGGGGAAACCCUGAUGCAGCGACGCCGCGUGAGGGAUGACGGCCUUCGGGUUGUAAACCUCUUUCAGCAGGGAAGAAGCCCCUUGGGGUGACGGUACCUGCAGAAGAAGUACCGGCUAACUACGUGCCAGCCGCCGCCGUAACAC
rnacentral:rRNA from 1 species